AGUGAACGCUGGCGGUAGGCCUAACACAUGCAAGUCGAACGGCAGCACAGUAAGAGCUUGCUCUUACGGGUUGCGAGUGGCGGACGGGUGAGGAAUACAUCGGAAUCUACUUUUUCGUGGGGGAUAACGUAGGGAAACUUACGCUAAUACCGCAUACGACCUACGGGUGAAAGCAGGGGAUCUUCGGACCUUUCGCUAUUGAAUGAGCCGAUGUCGGAUUAGCUAGUUGGCGGGGUAAAGGCCCACCAAGGCGACGAUCCGUAGCUGGUCUGAGAGGAUGAUCAGCCACACUGGAACUGAGACACGGUCCAGACUCCUACGGGAGGCAGCAGUGGGGAAUAUGGGAGAAUGGGCGCAAGCCUGAGCCAGCCAUACCGCGUGGGUGAAGAAGGCCUUCGGGUUGUAAAGCCCUUUUGUUGGGAAAGAAAAGCAGCAGGUUAAUACCCCGCUGUUCUGACGGUACCCAAAGAAUAAGCAACGGCUAACUUCGUG
rnacentral:rRNA from 1 species